UGUGUGUGUGUGUGUGUGUGUGUGUGUGUGUGUGUGGAAUGGCUUGAAAAUGACUCCGUCCAUGUCCCAUCCUUCAGAAGAAGCACAGCGCCAUGCAUACAACACAGACAGCCGAGGCUAAGACAACACGUCACAGACGGGGAUGCAGAAUGAAAGAAAAGGCUCGGGGAGGGAUGUCACUUGCAGAGAGAGCCUCAGCAUACAUGCCCGUGAGUGCA